CUUCUCCCUUAGGCAUAAGAGAAGGAUUUUUGAAAACAUAUAAAAGCAAUUACUUAGAUCGAUGCAAAAUAAUAGGAAUAUCAGCAACAAUCCAAUUGUUGCAAGCCUUUCCAUGCGUCACAAAAUUGGUGCAGUCUUCCCCUUCAUCAUCCUCUAGCACAACAGCUAAGUGUUGUUCAUUGCCAUGAAUGAACCAUACGCUACGGAAGCUAAGUUGCAUAUCCUUAGACCUUGCAGUUGACAAACCUUGUUU
rnacentral:lncRNA from 1 species